rnacentral:rRNA from 1 species
CGCAUCUGUGCAUGCAGCAUAUCAAUAAGCGGAGGAAAAGAAACUAACAAGGAUUCCCCUAGUAACGGCGAGUGAAGCGGGAAGAGCUCAAAUUUGAAAUCUUAAAGGGUUUCCCUUUACGAAUUGUAGUUUAAAGAAGUGUUUUCUGUUGAGGUUUUGGUAAAAGUUCUUUGGAAUAGGACAUCAUAGAGGGUGAGAAUCCCGUAUUUGACCUUUACUUUCAACUUUGUGAUACACUUUCAAAGAGUCGGAUUGUUUGGGAAUGCAGUCCAAAAUGGGUGGUAAAUUUCAUCUAAAGCUAAAUAUUGGCGAGAGACCGAUAGCGAACAAGUACCGUGAGGGAAAGAUGAAAAGAACUUUGAAAAGAGAGUUAAACAGUACGUGAAAUUGUCAAAAGGGAAGCGUUUGACACCAGUGUUGUUUUUCUGAAAAUCAAUUAAAGAACUGUUUAUGCUAAGUUGUUUAGACUUUAUCAGCUAACUGUUUAGUUUUGAGCUUUUCUUUAAUGCACUUUUCAGUUAACAAGUCAACAUCAAUUUCUUUUGCUGUAAAAAAGCUUGAGGAAGGUGGCUUGAGAUUCGUCUUAAGUGUUUAUAGCCUCUUGCCUAUGCAGUCGGAGAGAUUGAGGUCUGCAGCGUAGAUCCUUCGGGGCUAAAUGCAUUUGUGCUAAGUUAUAGCAUUUUAUAGACAACUUGUUGACUAUGAUUUGUCUUGUAGCUUACUCGCUUAUGUUAUUUUACCUACGCUUAGGAUGUUGAGUCAUCACACAUCUCU